rnacentral:lncRNA from 1 species
UGUGUUUGAGGGAUUGCUUGUGAAGGGUGGUGGAUAUUAUAAGCUAUGCGGUAUCAUUGGUUGGCCGAUCAUGUGCUUGUUUGAUUGUUGGUCGACCGGUUAAUGAUAAUUGUAUAGUCUAAGUGUCUAACACUACAUGAGUAUUGAACUCAAGCGUAUAUAUGGUUAACUAGGGAUUGGUUGUUGACUUGUUUUAAUGCAGGUUUCCGUUACUUGAAGCUAGAUCAU